AGAUCAAGAUGGUGCCAGUAGGCGGAUUCUCUUGGCAGUCAUACGUCGAAGAAAUUGUCUCUGCCUUCGGCGGCGACACUUUUACAAAGGAUGGGCUGCUGGAGCAAAUUAGUCUCACUAGAGAUGUUUCAGAUUAUCUGUGGUACACGACAGAGUGAGUGCUGCUUUUGACUUGCAUCUCAUGGGCAUCAUCAAAACUUCAAUAUAUCGAAUUGUCAUGUGCUUACAGUUUUACUUUUCUGAUCUUCUCUGAUCAUUCAGCAUCACGAUAAGUCCUAACGAAGCAUUUC
rnacentral:lncRNA from 1 species